rnacentral:rRNA from 1 species
AGAGAGAGACAUGCGUGCAUAUCAAUAAGCGGAGGAAAAGAAACUAACAAGGAUUCCCCUAGUAACGGCGAGUGAAGCGGGAAGAGCUCAAAUUUGAAAUCUUAAAGGGUUUCCCUUUACGAAUUGUAGUUUAAAGAAGUGUUUUCUGUUGAGGUUUUGGUAAAAGUUCUUUGGAAUAGGACAUCAUAGAGGGUGAGAAUCCCGUAUUUGACCUUUACUUUCAACUUUGUGAUACACUUUCAAAGAGUCGGAUUGUUUGGGAAUGCAGUCCAAAAUGGGUGGUAAAUUUCAUCUAAAGCUAAAUAUUGGCGAGAGACCGAUAGCGAACAAGUACCGUGAGGGAAAGAUGAAUAGAACUUUGAAAAGAGAGUUAAACAGUACGUGAAAUUGUCAAAAGGGAAGCGUUUGACACCAGUGUUGUUUUUCUGAAAAUCAAUUAAAGAACUGUUUAUGCUAAGCUGUUUAGACUUUAUCAGCUAACUGUUUAGUUUUGAGCUUUUCUUUAAUGCACUUUUCAGUUAACAAGUCAACAUCAAUUUCUUUUGCUGUAAAAAAGCUUGAGGAAGGUGGCUUGAGAUUCGUCUUAAGUGUUUAUAGCCUCUUGCCUAUGCAGUCGGAGAGAUUGAGGUCUGCAGCGUAGAUCCUUCGGGGCUAAAUGCAUUUGUGCUAAGUUAUAGCAUUUUAUAGACAACUUGUUGACUAUGAUUUGUCUUGUAGCUUACUCGCUUAUGUUAUUUUACCUACGCUUAGGAUGUUGAGCGCAUGUCUCUCUCU